UUACCUACGGGAGGCAGCAGUGGGGAAUAUUGCACAAUGGGGGAAACCCUGAUGCAGCAACACCGCGUGAGUGAAGAAGGUUUUCGGAUUGUAAAGCUCUGUUGGUAGUGAAGAAAGAUAGAGGUAGUAACUGGCCUUUAUUUGACGGUAAUUACUUAGAAAGUCACGGCUAACUACGUGCCAGCAGCCGCGGUAAUACGUAGGUGGCAAGCGUUGUCCGGAUUUAUUGGGCGUAAAGCGAGUGCAGGCGGUUCAAUAAGUCUGAUUUGAAAGCCUUCGGCUCAACCGGCGAAUUGCAUCAGAAA
rnacentral:rRNA from 1 species